rnacentral:lncRNA from 1 species
AGGCACAGAGGAAGCACCGCAGCACCUAGCUCGACUGCAAGGCCGAAAAGAAAUAUUUUAUCCUCUCUUCCCCCUUCCUGUCUUUUUCCUCAUUGAAUCUUUUCUUUUUCCCUCACAUCGACCAAAAUCCUUUAAGCAGGAAAACAUCCUACAAUAACGAAGUUUACAGAUAAGCAAACAAACCUGAGAGUUAAUUCCUAGAAAACUGUCCCAAUAGAAGUGCUUUAUGCUGAAACAAAGGGAUGCCACAUACGGAGUACGAGUACCAGGAGGGGCUCAAAGUACAGCUGGAAGGGAAGCCAGAAGAGGACACUGAAUUUCCUGUACUGAAGCUACAGAUGGUUGUGAGCCACCAUGCUGGGAACCAAACCUGGGCCUUCUGGAAGAGCAGCCAGUCCUUGUCACCACAGAGCAUCCUACCAGUCCCUCUUGGAAGUAUUCCCUUUAGCAUCCUUUACACUUAUUGCCCCCAACUAGGACCACUUCAGACGGCACGCUGAAGGUCAAUGCAGAACAUGGAUAACCUUGUCUUCUUCGGUGAAUUUUGUUUUCUCCAAUUCAGAAUUAUUUUGGCUAUUGGUCUGUUUCUUCUGCCCUCAGUUCUGUCUGGACUUUUUUUUUUUUUUUUUACUGCUCCAGUGGAUGGAAGGGGACUUUAUUUGGUCCCGGGGUCACAUGCCAGGUAUGACCCCAGCUUUAUUUGACCUUCUUGGGGCGCAGGUUGUUGGUAUGGUCGCACUUCUUGCGGCAGUUGACUGCAUGAGGGUGCAGGCGUGCGUAGCACUUGCGGCAGAUCAUCUUGUCACAGUUGUACUUCUGGGCAAGCUGACGAAGGGAUGGCUCAAUGAUGCCACCGCGCAGACGCAGCACCAGGUGCAAGGUGGACUCUUUCUGGAUGUUGUAGUCGGACAGGGUGCGGCCAUCCUCCAGCUGUUUGCCCGCGAAUAUCAGCCUCUGCUGGUCAGGUGGGAUGCCUUCCUUGUCUUGGAUCUUGGCCUUGACAUUCUUGAUGGUGUCACUGGGCUCGACCUCAAGAGUGAUGGUCUUGCCCGUCAGGGUCUUCACGAAGAUCUGCACGUUGGCGUCUGCCGCUCGGCCACCUCGUUGAAGAGAAAGAGAAAGCCUGUCUGGACUUUUAUCAUGAGGGAGAAUGUUCCACUUUAUAAAAGGCCUUUCUGCCGUCA